UGAGAAAGGAAGACCUACCCUCAAUGUGGGUGGGCACCAUCCAAUCUGCUGCCAGCACAGCCAGAACACAGUAGGCGGAAGAAGGUGGGAUAGGCUGGCUUGAUGAGCCUUCUGACUUUCACCUUUCUCCCCUGCUGGAUGCAUCCAUCCAUCUCUCCCUCCUGCCUUCAGACAUCAGACUCCAGCUUCUUUGGCCUUUGGACUCUUAGACUUACACUAGUGGUUUGCUGGGGGCUUUCCGGCCUUUGGCCACAGACUGAAGGCUGCAUCGUCAGCUUCCCUACCUUUGAAGAUUUUGGACUUUGACUGAGUCACUAUUGGCUUCUUUCUUCCUCAGCUUGCAGACGGCCUAUCAUGGGACUUCACCUUGUGAUCAAUUUCAUUCCUGCAGAAACCACAAUAAAGGGACGUGCCCUCAGUUGCCCUGUCUCCCUCUGCCUCAUGACUGACCGCGGUGCAUGACCUGAGUGGCCUUGUGUGGCCUGCUGCUUUCUCCCCAGUGAACUGUGAAUUACUAAUUGAGGCAUAUUUUGUGACUAUGGCAGAGGCAAAAAAGUACAAACAAAGGAGAAGGACUGAGGUGUUCUAUCUCUUUCCGGCACAAAUCAUCACUUCACAUAUCCCUUCUAGACAGCAGCUGUAUGAUAGCAUGAUACUUUUUUCUACUUGUUCUGAAGUGUGAACCGGAAAGAGCAGAAAGUGUUAGCCAGAGAAAAGACAUCCCUCUGUGAGUUUGGGAGCCUGGGAAGUACAAAAUCAAGGCGCCAGCAGAUUUCAGUGUCUGGAGAAAACCUGCUUCCUCAAAGGUCUUGACGUUGGGAAGUAAAAGAUCAGAGUGCUGGCAGAUUUUGGUGUCUAGUAAAGGACGGCUUUCUAGUGUAUAGAUAACACCUUCUAUCCAUGUCCUCACAUGGUGAAAAAGUGACUGUAAGUUUCCUGAGGCCUCCCCAGAAGCAGAAGCCUGUAUACUCGGCAGAAGUGUGCUUAUUGAAAUACUCAACUUUCAUGAUGCUCUGAUGGCUUUGGCAGACACUGCCCCAACUUCUUCAGGUGGUUUUCUCCCUUACCAGGGAGACUGUUGUUCAGGCGGCAGGACUGGCAACUCAGUAUGUGGUUUGCUUAUAAACCUGUGAACACA
rnacentral:lncRNA from 1 species